rnacentral:rRNA from 1 species
AGAGUUUGAUCCUGGCUCAGGACGAACGCUGGCGGCGUGCUUAACACAUGCAAGUCGAACGGAAAGGCCCUGCUUUUGUGGGGUGCUCGAGUGGCGAACGGGUGAGUAACACGUGAGUAACCUGCCCUUGACUUUGGGAUAACUUCAGGAAACUGGGGCUAAUACCGGAUAGGAGCUCCUGCUGCAUGGUGGGGGUUGGAAAGUUUCGGCGGUUGGGGAUGGACUCGCGGCUUAUCAGCUUGUUGGUGGGGUAGUGGCUUACCAAGGCUUUGACGGGUAGCCGGCCUGAGAGGGUGACCGGCCACAUUGGGACUGAGAUACGGCCCAGACUCCUACGGGAGGCAGCAGUGGGGAAUAUUGCACAAUGGGCGGAAGCCUGAUGCAGCAACGCCGCGUGCGGGAUGACGGCCUUCGGGUUGUAAACCGCUUUCGCCUGUGACGAAGCGUGAGUGACGGUAAUGGGUAAAGAAGCACCGGCUAACUACGUGCCAGCAGCCGCGGUGAUACGUAGGGUGCGAGCGUUGUCCGGAUUUAUUGGGCGUAAAGGGCUCGUAGGUGGUUGAUCGCGUCGGAAGUGUAAUCUUGGGGCUUAACCCUGAGCGUGCUUUCGAUACGGGUUAACUUGAGGAAGGUAGGGGAGAAUGGAAUUCCUGGUGGAGCGGUGGAAUGCGCAGAUAUCAGGAGGAACACCAGUGGCGAAGGCGGUUCUCUGGGCCUUUCCUGACGCUGAGGAGCGAAAGCGUGGGGAGCGAACAGGCUUAGAUACCCUGGUAGUCCACGCUGUAAACGGUGGGUACUAGGUGUGGGGUCCAUUCCACGGGUUCCGUGCCGUAGCUAACGCUUUAAGUACCCCGCCUGGGGAGUACGGCCGCAAGGCUAAAACUCAAAGGAAUUGACGGGGCCCCGCACAAGCGGCGGAGCAUGCGGAUUAAUUCGAUGCAACGCGUAGAACCUUACCCGGGCUUGACAUGGAUCGGGAGUGCUCAGAGAUGGGUGUGCCUCUUUUGGGGUCGGUUCACAGGUGGUGCAUGGCUGUCGUCAGCUCGUGUCGUGAGAUGUUGGGUUAAGUCCCGCAACGAGCGCAACCCUUGUUCACUGUUGCCAGCACGUUAUGGUGGGGACUCAGUGGAGACCGCCGGGGUCAACUCGGAGGAAGGUGGGGAUGACGUCAAGUCAUCAUGCCCCUUAUGUCCAGGGCUUCACGCAUGCUACAAUGGCUGGUACAGAGAGUGGCGAGCCUGUGAGGGUGAGCGAAUCUCGGAAAGCCGGUCUCAGUUCGGAUUGGGGUCUGCAACUCGACCUCAUGAAGUCGGAGUCGCUAGUAAUCGCAGAUCAGCAACGCUGCGGUGAAUACGUUCCCGGGGCUUGUACACACCGCCCGUCAAGUCAUGAAAGUUGGUAACACCCGAAGCCGGUGGCCUAACCGUUGUGGGGGAGCCGUCGAAGGUGGGACUGGUGAUUAGGACUAAGUCGUAACAAGGUAACCAAGGGCGAAUUCCACAUU